GUUGAACGCUGGCGGCGUGCCUAACACAUGCAAGUCGAGCGGUAGGUGGCUUCGGCCAUUGAGAGCGGCGCACGGGUGAGUAACGCGUACAUGACCUGCCUGUCAGAAGGGGAUAGCCCUGGGAAACUGGGAUUAAUACCCUAUGGUAUUGAUAUUAUGAAUGAUAUCAAUUAAAGUUGAGGCGCUGACAGAUGGAUGUGCGUCUGAUUAGCUAGUUGGUAGGGUAACGGCCUACCAAGGCGACGAUCAGUAGGGGGCGUGAGAGCGUGGUCCCCCCACACGGGGUACUGAGACACGGACCCGACUCCUACGGGAGGCAGCAGUAAGGAAUAUUGGUCAAUGCCCGCAAGGUGAACCAGCCAUUCCGCGUGGAGGAUGAAGGCCCUAUGGGUUGUAAACUUCUUUUAGAUGGGAAGAAAAUGCUAGAUGUAUCUGGUACUGACGGUACCAUCAGAAUAAGCACCGGCUAACUCCGUGCCAGCAGCCGCGGUAAU
rnacentral:rRNA from 1 species